CCAGGCAACUUACUCGCCGGUCUUUGGCAGCAGCGAACGGCAACGAACCGCGUGGUGCCGAAGGCGAGAGACGACGGUGGAGCCUUGCGGCAGCUACUGAAACGGGCUUGGAGCGCGGUGGUGGUAUUUGGCUUCGGCUUUGUAGCGGUCUCCAGCUUCUUCUCAGCGGGCGUAGCAGUAGUCGGAAAUCAAUCUCUGUUUCUUGGUGAUUUUAGGCUCUUCGGCAAUCGGCAUCUCCAGAUGGCUGUGACCACUGCUGCUUCUCUUCGGCCAGCAACGGAGCCGCCUGUCCUCUCCUUUAAACAAACAAACUCCCUUAUCCAGUCUUUGUUCACCAAACAAUCAAAGGGAGUAUUUUCCAGCUGCCAAGUUUCGGAUAUUUGAUGGCAAUGGGAGCUUGGAAGCUUGUGUUAAAGAUUGGCAUAGUCUCAUUAAUCAACUUCAUGGCGGAUUUUGCCCCAAACGAGAUGCUUUGAGUAUUUGCAAAGUUCGAAAUCUAUUGUCUUCUUUCUUUCAGUCUUGACAUCUCCAUCAGCCCGACUAAAGACCAUCCUCAGAGAGUUCAUCCAAAAAUCUGGCAGCAGCCCAUCUAAGACUUUAUUUGAGUGAUGUUUACUUUGCACUUCAGGUGGCUCAAUUGGCUUUUAAUCAGAUUUCGGGUGCGCUCGGAUCUGGGCCAUUGUGAGUCCAACCUUUGAAGAUUGUUGGUUACAUUUUCUCUUUGCGCGCAUUCGAGCAGGCUAGAUGACUCAAUGGUGUUCUAUUAUGUUUGGCGAACAUGUGUUUCAACUCCACGAGCGCAUUCAACUUUAGCUUGGAGAGAAGUGAAUUUGUCGAUGCAUAGCCGACCUCAAUGCCAGAUGACUCAAUUCUUUGACAGGUCUUGGGUGCGCUCAGGCCUGGGAUUGUUUGAAUCUGGUUUGAGCGAGGUUGUUGUUAUGUUUGGCAUCUCACGAAGUUGGGAGAAUUCUGCACAACGGCUCGAGAAGAUUGAGUAUUUUCUUCUUGAUGCUUAAGCCAAGGAGAAUGAAGCCAUCGUCCGAAUUGCUUUGAUCAAGGAAGUGCUUGCUAUGAUAGAGAGGUGGAAGACAGAGAUGACGUUGUCCUUCAAGCAAGAUAGUGCCUCCUUUCAUAUUGUCCGAGGUGCAAUCCCAGAAUUCAAAAGAGAUUUUGACAAACAUAAAGUUGCACAUGUUGAUGAGAAAAUGCUGCGGAAUUUUGAAGACUUCAGAGUCACUUUUGAUCUCUGCUCAGAGAACUUUGGAGGAUCAAGACCCAUUUGCUUAGUAUUGAUGCAAACCGCAGUUUCUAUCAUUUCUCUCUUGAUGAUUCUUAUUUGGUUUGUGAUGGAUAUUUUGACAUCUUCUCCAAA